CUAAAUUGUCCUCUGAAGGGCCCUACCAGCAGUGAACAUGAGUGCCUAUUUCCAUCACCCUCGCCGACACUUCAUGCUUCCAGACUUGGAUAUUUCCUAAUUGCCUUCUCCUUCUUAAUGUGCAUCUGGUCAGCCCUACUGCUCUGGGGUCGUUUCUAACCUUCAGUUUUAUUUUGCUCCUGGUUUCUUCAUCAGCUUGACCUCAGCCUUGGCUCUCUUGGCCACCUGAGCUUUCUGCUCUUUGGUCCAUCUACUCUGACAAGGAGCUCUCAUUCUGGCUUGAAUUCUAGGUGGCAGGUGGGCAGGAGAACAGCUCUGCCUCAACCUAGCUGUGUGACCAUGGGCUGAUCACUUGUCUGGGCCUCAGUUUCCUCACCUACACCAUAAAGGAACCGAGUUACAGGAACUCCAGGAUUCUAGCUCUCCAGUUCUGGCCUGGACUAAAAAAAAUCUCACUUUAAAAAGACGCUCUUGCCCCCAUCGACACUAACCACUGUUUGGUCUGGUUGAAAUGCUCUACUGUAACUGCACACAGUCAGACAUGAGUCAUUUGAAGAGGUAAUCAGUAGGACUCCUGCAUGCUUCGGGCAGGUAAAAGCUUCCACCUUGAGGAGGCGGGACCCAGAGCAGAGCCUGUGCUUCUGGGAGGGGCAGGCUGAAGAGGCCACCUCCCCCUUGAAAGGCUUCCAGAGGUUCAGACUCUGAUUCACCCAGGUUGGGCUUUGUCCAGGCUGGUUGCUCAUCUUCUCGCCCCUCCCAUUCCCCCUGCCGGUGUCCACACAUUAGGAGCUUGCAGUUGGCUUCCUGUGGCUCCAACAACAGGCCGGCGGGUGUUCUCCUUCCCUUCCCUGACCUCACCCAGCCAGCACUCCAGAGGUGGUCAAAGCAAACAGGACUUGCGUGGGACCUGGCCAGGAAAUCCAGAACAAAGGAGGACUUCUUUUAUCAGCUGUUUCCUUUUGUCGGAAGAUAAAUACUGCUACUGAGAGUAAUAACCUUAAAAAAUAAAAAAACUAAACAAGAGAAAUAAGUUACAUAACACUUUCAUGAAA
rnacentral:lncRNA from 1 species